rnacentral:pre_miRNA from 14 species
CCUUUGGGUCUCCGGGGGCUAUGCCAGAUCCUGGACGAGCCCUCAUAUGAAAGAACAAAUGAGAGAACCCCAAAUAGGGGAGACUCUUGCUCCGGUCUUGGGAUGAAUGGCGUGCCCCAGGAACACGAGAAGCC